CAGAAACAAAAGCUAAUUGAUUAAUUUUUGUAUAGCUAUUAUGUAUGUGUAUGUAUACAAUGCAAAAUUUCAACAAAAUAUGCAUGGGAUAAUGGCUAGGAGUAAUGUGCAUAGAGAAGCACUGAAACAGGUGACCUGGGGAAGCUGAAGUACCCUUUGUCCUGCAUGUGGGGUCUGUGGCCUCUGUCCCUAUUGUGAUGGGAGGUGACCAGGAUCCAUGGAUGAAUGAUAACCUUUGCCUUUGAGCAUCCCAUUCGUUGUAAAAUGUUUCCCAGUGACUGCAAACUGGGCAAAAUCUUGCACCUCAUAUUUUCACCUUCCAGACUGUUCCUGGCAGGUUGCACUGACAAAUUACAAAUUAACUCUGCAAUCUGUUAGCAGAUUACAGUUUAACUCUGCCCCUGUUUUGGAAAUGUUAUUGCCAAGAGGCAUUUCCUGAUUUACCACGGCCUUGACUAUUGUGUUGUCUCAGGGCUUCAGGCCCCACUGAUUGUAGCUACCUAAAGACAACAGGGUCUAUAAGUGCCACAGAAUCAAUAGCAGCACUAUUUCUGCACCAUGCUUUUUCUCCAGGAUGCUUUCCAGGACCCCGAACAAACACUUCAGCAGCCUCUUUGCAUGAGCUCUGUACAGCACGAUAGCUGCCAUGUAACGUACUCACCAUAGCCUGUUAAUAGUUGAGAAUUUAUUCUCCACUGUCAGAUGAGGCUUUGGAGGGGGGGGUGACUGAUUGGUUUUCUUCUUUAGUUAAGCAUUUCUGCAUGGCUGGAAAAUUUUACAGGCUUGCCUUGUGGCUACGUUAAUGUCUACGUAUUGUGGCUAUGUGCUACUUAAUUCAGCUGAAGCCUAAUGUCAGCAGUGGUGCUAGGCAUCUUCAGUCAGACAUCCUCUUGUCUCUGUAGGAUGGAGAAGGACAAUUGUAAGUGCUACCUGUCAGAAAGCUGUUAAAAACCCUUUUUCAGUGUUGAUAUUCCCUCUUAAUUAAACGUAUUCAUCACAGUUCAGCUCCUUUCCCUACAAAUCUUUUCCUUUGGCCAUUUAUAAUCUCUGUUUUCUACAGCUGCUGCUUCCUGUAUGCUGCAGGUUCAGACACUUCCAAUCAUUGCUGGGUUCAGGUGCUUCUCAUCUCAUCAUCCUUGCUUCUUAACAGCAGCUGUUCAGAUGGGUGAUGCAGCUUCCUCAUUCCAGCAGAGACCCUCAAAUGCACUUUCAACCAACUUGCACAAGCCAGGGAAAUGCGGAUGUAAUAAUGAGACGUAUUAUCACUGCUGUGUGGUUUGACCUGCUUGCUGCUUCAAGUUGUGUGGCUGAGCAGUGCACACCAGGUGACCGGAGUCCUAAGACUCCAUUGCAUGCUGACAGAUGCUGACACAAGGAGCUGCAGGAAAUGAGAGCUGGAGGAGCACGCAUUUAGCAGAUUAUCCAAAUUGGGAUUUGGUCCUGGACACUGAGAAAGACUAAGAAUGCAUGGAACCACCAAGGUUGGAAAAGACCUCCAAGAUCAUCUAGUCCAACCAUUCACCUACCAUCAAUAUUUCCCCAUUACAUUGUGUCCCUUAGUCCCUCUUGAACACCUCCAGGGACUCAACAACUGCCCUGGGCAGCCUGUUAAGUGAUCAGCUCAAAUGUUUAUUUGCACUGAUAAACUAUUUAUCUCAUUAUUCUAAUGUUCAUCCAAUUGUUCAUUCAGGCCAUAACAAUUGUUUGCACACGGUCAGGCACAGUGCUAGAUUGAAUCGUGGCACCUACUUCAUUUCCGAAGACCUAAAGAUUCUCACAAUGCAGCAUCACAUCAUUCAGCAUCGUUCAAUUUCAGGGAAGAGGAUGGUGCAUCCCAGAAGAGGAAAAAGGUUUUGUUCUCUUCACCAGUCACAAGAAAAUAUUUGUUCGAGACUUGGUAAACUGAUGUGGAGGUGUCAUUGCUGCUGAGAAUUGACACCAGAACCAGAAUGAUAUCUGUUCUUCCGUCGCAGGAAUGCAGAGCCUACCAAAGAAAUGGAAUUGCUAAAUUACAAGCUCCUGCAUUCACCUGAAAGGAUGGACUUGCAAAACUCUCCUUGACUUCCACACACCUCAGCACGCAGUGAAAAGUUGGGAAUGAUAGGGAGAGAGGCACCGCAGCGGCUUUUUAUUUGCAAUAUUUAUGCAUUUAACCAAAGACUUGUCUGGGAUGGGGUCUGCAAGGAGGAUGAAAACAACUCCAUGUAUUUCACCGUACGCAAGUACACAGGGCAACUUGCAAUUUGAAGGUAUGAUUUUCCCUGCCGUGUUUCUCACAGCAGGCUCACAGUAACACUUGUUAAACUUAUACUGGUUCAUUGCUCACACGUCUCAAACUUACAGACACCUUGCAGUCUUGUCACAUCUACCAGGUGUCUCAUUCUGUCAGGCUACAGCCAGUUCUCUAGUACUACAGUUUUCUGCUGACAAGGUUUUGACAGUAUUUCUGUUAAAAUCCCCUUGCAUUUCAAAUCAAUUUGCAAGUCUUUAUACAAAACACAUUUAGUUGAACUGUGGAGCAGUUAGUAGCUGAUUAGCUCCCUUCCAGCGCCAUCUCUUUGAAGAUGCUUAAAUUAUAUUAGUCUAGCUACUGUGUGAUUAUUUUAUUUGCCAGCACUGAUUAGCUGAUUCACUGAAAAUGAAGAAACUGAAAAGUGCUGACAUUUUCACUUCAGAAACAUAUCUGCUAAGUUCUGUUUUUGUUAUAACGACACGAGUUUUUAUACCAUUUCAUGCUGUAUGGGACUAUACCCAGGAACUGACAAUUCAGCCUAAAUGUGUAUAUAGUCUGACACCAGUAUUUAUUUAUAUCAGAGAAGUAUCCUGAAAUUCCAAUCAGUCAGAGUCCGUUUGCACUUAAAACAGAGAGAGCUCAUAGUGCAGAAAACACAGACAACCCCUCAGACCUUACAAUCAAACAGGAACAGUGCAGGCUGUGAAGAUAAAUGGAAAUACAUAGAAGUUGUGUUUUGUCCAGCAAGGUCAUAACUCGAUGUGGACAAAAUCUUGGUUUCCUGGCUUUUACUUAUUCUUAGUUUUGCAAGGUCUAGGUCUGGGACAUAGCGGGCAGAAAGGCCACUGAAGGAGAAUAGCAAUGAGAGCAACAGUGCAAAUCAGAACUGCCUGAACAAAGGAAGGUGGUUUUACAGCGAUGGACUUGGGACACUCUUGUGGGAGCUCCUCCAAUGACCUUGCUCCCUCUCUGCCCACAUGGGGAAACAAGUUGCUGGUUUGGGCGGACCCUGUGGGUCCUGCAUUCACCAAACCAUGUGGUGUUGUAUUAGCACAUACUCAGAAGGCUGGUAAAUGAUGUGCAAUGAUCUCAGCAUUUCUGCUGUGGGACCUGCAGGAGGAACAAGGGAUCCUAGCUUCUGAGACAGUUCUCAAGGACAAGUACACAUGGACGCUACUGUUAUCCUUGCUAGUAACAACUUUAAGGAGCUUCGUUUUACCCCUCAAACACCUUAAAAGUUGCCUUCUCAUGAUAGAAAUCAAGGAGAGAAGCAGCUGGCAGCCGAGACCCCUUUGGGAGAAUCCGUCACAUUCCCAGAGAACACUGCCUCUAUUCGUGCAGCUCAGCCUGUGCUUUCCAGCACUAACGACAACCAUUUGUGCACCCCAGAUUCCUGUUAGCAGCAAUAAUAUUUUAUGCAAAUUCCACUCCCAUAGACAUUUUUGUGACAGAUUGGUGGUGCAUGAGAGUGCAGAUAAGGAGAUCUGCAUCUGAAUGGCAAGAGUCUCCCCUGUGCUAAGUUUGCAAAGUCCCGCUGAUUUCCAGGGCUGUAUAGGUUGGUGCUGGUUAAGGAACACAUUGUUUCCUUUUGCUUGGUACAUUUCCUAGCUUAGACAAUAGCUGAACAUAAAAUACACUCCUUGUAUGUCAUCUUAAUUAGAAGUGACUGAUUUAAUGAACACACCAUAAUUAAUGUCUAUUAUACCAUGAAAGACCUUAUUUCCACAAACUGGAUAGAUCUUUGUUUCUUCUGUUACUGUAGCAGCCUGAUUGCAUUUGAUCAGCGUAAUAAGAGGUACAGUAGCAUUAUAUUGUUCGCAGGCCUUCACUGGGAACCUUAAUUGCCUAUUUACUAGUGCUCAGUGCAUUGGGCAUGGGCUUCCUUAACCGCAGUGUUCAGCACAGUGUCUCAGCAGGGGUUUACACGAUGUUCCAGUCUGAGGCCUUUUUUCCACUCAGUUCUGAAUUCAGAUGAUUCUUUGAAGUGAGAGAAAGGAAUAGAGAGAACAAUAAGUACAGAGAGCUUGCAGUGCACUGAGGCCAUUCAGUCUUCCCUGCAGAAGGGCAAAGAAAUGUCUUCAUUUACAAAUGCUUUUCAGUUUUGACCCGUGCUUUCAGAAUAACUAAAUUUGGACAAUGUACAAUAUGAGCAAAGCCACAAGGUGAUGAGCCCAAAUUCCUGUUGGGCUUAAAAGCCCCAUCAGCAAUCCACAACUAUGGGAAUCUCUAAGGUAGUAGGUAGGACUUCUGUUUUGAACUUUGAAUUCUGGAUUUUUCUCCAGAUACAACAAUACUGCUGCAGAUCAUAUUCAGUACUCACAGUGAUUUCUUUUAGACUUUGUAUAUGUGAAAUCCAACAUCAGUGGAACAAUGGAAAAACUUACAAGGAAAUCUCCUUUCAAAGUCUGUGUUCCCUUGAAGAAUGAACUUCAGCUCUAUGAUGCUGAACCUUUCCUUUAACAGAAAGAUCUUGCAACAGAUUCAAAAUUCGGUCACACUUAAGGCCUGACUCUCAUUUAAACUAGAGUGAAGAAUGAAUAGCUCUGUUGAAGAUGAGGGAAUGUCACUGACAUAAAUAUACUUAAAAUAAAGAAUCAGAUCUUGCUGUCUCCCAAUAUUCCACCUCAGUUAAAAUGGUUCAAGUACAUUACUGGCAGGAAUGAAACAUGAAACUGAGUAGGAUGAGAAACUCAUUUUCAGUUGUAGAGAUAAAUACAAUUGUGCUACUCAAGCAAAUAAUGAAAUAUGUCUGAAGACUUCACAAUGAAGAAGUGCACAAUACUAAUGGAUAAUAUAACUGAACACAGUAGAGUAUAAAAGGAAUAAAUAUCAAGGUCAAAAAUAAUAAAUAGGGAAGAGUCACCCCAAGUGUUAUUUUUUCAGCUAAAAUGAAAAAAGCAAAUAUUUAAACAUGCAUACAAAUAUAUGUACUGUGGAAAAGCAAAUACACCAAGUUGUAAGUGCUAAGACAGCCUGGAUUCAGAUAGUUCAGAUGACCGUUAAUUGUCUUAAUUUCCAGAAGUAUGACAAUGUCUUUCAGUAUUUAAGGACAGCUUCUUUGAUGAACCUUGGCUGGAUGUUCUUGGAAGCAUUUCCAUCUUUUUAUUGCUCACAUUAGGUAUGCUCAAUUUAGGCUCUCUUGGUGUAUUAGUAACAAUUUAUCAUUAAUAUAUAUAUAAGAAGGAUGUUUUGACUUUUUUAAUGGCAUAAAAUAAUAAUCUCUAAUGCCAUGGUUAUUCCUGUAGACCUAGAACAAAACCUCAGAUCUUGAUUUUUAUCAAGAGCUGCAGUCUUCCUACCACACUAUCUUAGGCUCUGUGCUUCCUUACAAAUUUCUCAAAGCAGCAGCAGAACCAGAAUGGCUGCUGAAAACACUGCCAGAAAUUCCAGUGCAAUUAUGAAUAAAACCUUUGUGAAAUCAUAUAUUUACAUCUAGCAUGUGUUUUCAGUGCUCUGUAUCUCCAAAGCAUCUUCAGAUCUGAUCAAAAACCAUAGUGGUAAGGAAGCUUCUAAUUUCCGUAUGAACAUGACAUCUGUUUGAUUCCAUUUUCUAAUCCAUUUUCCCCUAGAAAUAAUAGCAAAAGUAGUAUUAAAUGCAAUGGAUUCAGAUCUGGCCUUUGAAGUUUGCAUGCCCUUGUUACUAGAAGUUGCCAGGGCAUGCUGUGGAAAAGACUGGUGUUAGGAUAUCACAAGACUGUAAGAUCCAAACCUCUUGAAGGGUGCUAUGAGCAAAAGGCAAAUCCACCAAAACAUGUACCCUGUUGCUUUAUAUAGGGCCCUAGCUGACUCAUGCCUUUCACCAGUGAAGUCAGCUGACUGUUGUUAUUCAACGUAUUUCGUAGUUUUCUCACCUAAAUGCACAUGCUUAAUGUUGCAGCUGUAGCUCACUGUGUAGCAGAAAUCCCAUCAGAGCUGAAAUCUCAGUACCAGUCACCUGUUUCAUUUAUUUCUUGCUGUGAGCCUAAUGAGAAAACAGCCAGAGCUACCCCUAGAAGCUGAGAGGAGAAAUAGCACUUUUCAAGAGUUAGUAUGAAAUUCAAACACUUUUGAACAUGGGAGCCAGGAAGAGCAGUUCAACUAUCAAGAAAUAUCAUUAAUAAAUAAUCAUCUAAUUCUCUGUGUGAUGAGUUUAGAUUCUGCAUGUCAGAGCCACAGGAAGAAAAAUAGGAAUUGGGCAGAAAACUUAGCCAAAGCCUGAUGAAGUGAAUUCAAGCUUAUCUAAUGGUUUCAAUGGAAAUUGAAUCGCAACGCUUUUAUGUCCUCUUUCCCUUGUGAACAACAUUCUCUCAGAAUGCCUAAAUAAAGUAUGCCCUCAAGGGUUUUGACUAAUUCCGAAAUAUGUAGGAGAACUGGUAUCUUAAAAAGGAACGGUGCCGCAGAUGAUAAUCUUGACAGGAAUGCCUGAUGUCUUUCAGUCUCAUACAUUCACCAGCCUCUCUCAUGUCUGAGUGCCUUCCAUACCAAACCAACACCACAGCUGCACAGAUAAGAAUGGCAAUAUUUCAGAACUUUUAAUAGUCCAAAGAAUGGAAAAUCACUUCUUUUUCCACAACAAUUUGGGAUCAGAAUGUGUAUGUUUGUGUUUUCUUUCUUUUUUUUUUUUAAUGCUGGCAGUAUUCGAAGAGAUCUGUUGUUACCCAGCUUUUUGACAGUGAUGGGGAGAACCAUUUUCAUGGCUCCUGCGUGGACAACCUUUCUCAUUUCCUACUAGUGCCAAUUGUUUCCACAUCAGCUGUACUAAGAAUCAUUGAGCUCAAUCAACAGCCACCUUGCUGGGUAAUCUGAAAACACAAAGGAGGACUUUCAGUCCUGCAGAAGGCUCAUGAUCACAUUACCACUAACAGCUAGGAUCUGUUUGAUUAGAUAGCAUGAGGAAGUUCAGUGAUUACAUAAUUCUUUUUUAAUGACUGUGUAUGUCAAAUUGCAAAGCAGAUAUAAAAAGUCAGUUGAUUGUAUUUGCAAGAAAAAAUAUCUUAUGGCAAAAGGCACAAUGAUAGCUAUUCAGCUGCAAAGAAGAAGGAAUAUAUCUGAGCAUGGGAAUCCUCAUGAAAACAACAUCCAGCCUGGCACUGCUCCCAGGCAGAGCAAGCUGUGUGGUAAGUGGUCAGGUAUGUAAUCUGCAGAUCAUUAUGCUCUGCUGUUACAAGACUGGUGGAUGAUCAAAUAACCCUAUUGCUCCUCACCUACCUGCAAUUUCACCUCAGCUAGAAUGAAGCGUUUCCUCUUUCUCAUUGUGGCCUAAAAUUGAAGUCAGUAACAACUGGCAUUCAACCAAGGAGGCUUCUGGCAUCCCAGCUUCAAGAUGCUGUUUUGUUAUGUUUCCACACAUUUCCCCUCAACCUGUGAUGCACAGCUGCAGAUGCACUCUGUCCUCACUGUAGCACCAACCCUAAUCUGCAGACCUUCAGGUUUGGUGCCACAGACUCCUGAACACAUGUAAAGAUUCCUCUUUUUUACAGAACCAGGAUGCAAUUAACACAUCUUUGCAGGGACCAGAGGCUGAGCUGCGUAGAUACGAAUUUACCUCUCAGGUUUCUAGAGAAAAUUUAUAUUUCUUGCCUUUGAUAAUUUUAAGAAGUAAGAAAUUGCACAAAGAUUAAGAAAGACAAAACAGAAAACCUGGCCUGAAUUAUUUUGAGGCCUCUUAUCAUUUCUUCUCUAGACAGUUUUCGACCCAGCAGGCUGCAGCCUCUAACACAUAAUCUAAGAUGAUGUGGUUCUGAGAGGUACUUGACCACAUUAGAAUGACCAAACUACAGGGAGGGAUAAGGCCUUCUUUUUACACUUGUGUCACACAGGAACAAAGGAAAUAACAUUUUUACUUCACUUUCACACACUGUAGGAUGUCAGGCUGUGCUUCAUUUUGGGACUUUCAGUGAAAGAACUGAGCGCAGAUGUAAUGUUGUCUCAGUGGGAGAUGUGCCUCAGUGAAAGACGAAUAAAAACUGACUGCAGACACCAGGGUGUAUGUCAGAGAGUCCAGGUGACAGCUGUGGGUGUGUGCAGAUGAGGAAGGGGAUGCGUUUCCUCUGUUCCCAGCGGCAUUUUGUGCAGCCUGUCCUGAGUCUCAGCCCCACAAGUUCACCUCUAUUCCUGGGACCAUUAGAGGUAUUCUGAGAAUUUCCACCAGCAGCUUGUUUCCUCCAACACACUUCAUUAGCUCUGCCAGAGUAUCACCGCUGUCUGCUUCAGAAAAGAAGUGAAAAGUUGAAAAAUACUGGAGUUGAUACACUGGUCAACGAAUAAACAGGAAGAUGCAAAAAAGAAACUUGAGGUGAAGAGAGGUCCUGCCUUCACUUGGGAACAUCAGAGCACUGGAGUAUCCUGGGCCAUACCCACUAAAACAAGAUUCUUCUUGUGCUACCAGAGCUUGCCACUAGCAUUGCUCUGCUGACCGGUCUUGAUGUAGCUGCCACGUGCCAUUUCCUUCAUUUUUCAAAGAAAAUGAAGGGUUUUCUAAGGACAUAGGUCAAAGUUUUGCCUCAAACAGAAAACAAGUUCUGUCUUCCACCCUGAGUGGCUGAAGAGGCAGGUAAAUUUCAUGCAGGGUUUACCUCGCUUAUAUUAUAAUAUACACUAUAUUUAGUUUCUACUUUGUCUAGUUUCUCACUACCAAUUUCCAUCAUGGUGACAUAAAAGUUAAGUCCCCAGAGGGAGAGUCUGGAAGCAGUCUUUUAAAAGUAACAAUACCAUAAGUGGACAUGAUGAAAUUUUCUUUUCUUCUCUUUUCUUCUCUUUGAAGGGGUGCAGUGUUCAUCCAAGAAUGAGAAUAAACAUUUUAAGUCCUCCUUAGGUAUCCUGUUGCCUAGGACCGGAAGGUCUCGUGGUCCUCCCCUCCAUGCAAAUAGCAGCACAGGUUUUCAGCCCAGAUCUGUUGCUGAAUACUUCUGUGCUCCUGCAGUCCUGCUCAGAGGCAAUCCCACAAGGAAUGCAGUUCUCCCCACCUCCCUCCAACAGCUUUUGUUCUUCAGCCUCAUACUGCACAGCCGUGAGCCCAUCACCCUGCACACUUGGCAGGGGUGGGCAUCUAAAACUGAGGCCUGGAAAUUUGAGUUCAAUCCCAGGCUUCCCCCGCUGGUCCUCCCAGUUGUCUGCCUUGCAAAACCACCACUUCAACGUGCACCUCUGCUGUGUUUUUUGCAUGUGGGAAUCUCACUCUCUGCCUCGAUGCCUCCUGAAAACACUGUGAUAAACUUUUACAAGAAGUGCUUGUUAUUUCAAACUUUAGAGUCAUCACAAACGACAACUGCUUUUCAGAUGCUCUGUCCUCUCAUUAUAGACAGACUUUGAGAUAAAAGAAUGGAUUUUCAACCAUUCACACUACAAUUAAUUUCUUAAAGCAAAAUGGUUCAUUUAUCCUGCCCAGGAUGAAGUCACAUACAAAACAAUAACAAUCUGCCUUUUGAGGUGUCUUGUAUUUUUGACAGCCUUAGCCCUCAGCCUUUGAUUAGAUAAAGGCCUUAAUAUUGCAUUACAGCAGAAUUACCUACAUUAUGGCAGCUGCUUGUUGCAAUUGUGUUGACAUGAGUAGCUUCUCGUGUGAAUGUAUUCUGGUCUUUCUAAUCUCUUUAGCAUCAGCACCAGGACAUUUUAUUUGCAAUUGAUUUUUAAAUUUAGGAGUAAUUGAAGUUUAAGCGCAGUUACCUUCUUGCAACAAGGACAGGUUGAUACUGUUUAAAUCCUAAUUAUGCACUGAUUAAAAGUGAUUGCAUUGCCAAAGUGAGCAGGGGCUAUAAUUUGUUUCAUUCUUAAAGGCUCAGCAUAGAGAAUUAAUUGUAUUUCCAGGAAAACAGAUCAACAUAAAGAGGAAGCAAUUAAGAUUUCAUUGCUGAAUCAUAAAUUUCCUUGCAAUCUUUGGAAGGUGGAUAAAGUAGACUUAACAUUGAAAGCAGAUCUUUAUGACAGUAGGGAGAAACCAUUUCCUAGUUUAGGUUUUUGAUGGUACAAGCUUUGCCUGCAGUCAGUUAUGCUGAGUUUUGGUUAAAUGCAUAAGGUAGAAAUGGGUUUGCUUUAAUUUGGGAACAUCCAGCUUUGCAGUGUUCUGUUGUUUGCCUUGCUUUCAAAUUUAAUAAUGAAAUGACAGCCUGCAAAUUAUUCUCAUAUAAUAAGUAGGAUAAACAAAACCAGUCACACUUUUUGUAUGAGCAGGAGUCAUUUCAUAAACACCAUAAGAAAUUAGAAAGCACAAGAGGGAAACCGGAGCAGAAAAGUACAUUUCUACAUUAGUGACAGUAAAAACCUGGGGUCUAAACAGGUUAGAGCUGGGAGUUCUGGAUCUGAGUUUUGUGACUGUCACAAGCAAUGUUUGAGUCAGGUCUGAAUGAUCCCAGAGUUAGGGAAACACCUAAUAGAGACCUGCACCUGCUCAGUGUUACUUUUAUUAUUUCUUCAUACACAGGAUAUGUUUGUAUAGUGGGCUCUGAUGUUGUCUCUGAUCAAUCAGUGAUGGAAUAUCAAGAUUCUCCAAGAUGCUACAGACAAUUCCUCAUGCUGGAAUUUGAAAGUUUAUUUUAGUUUGGAUUAUAGGUGGCUUUUUUGUUGUUGUUGUCGUUUUUUUCCUCAAUCUCUCUGUUUCUCUAUCUAGAACAGUAGUUUUCUUAUUACCUACCGUCCUGCUAACAGGAGAAAUCUCAGCUGCAAACAACACGACUACAAAACUGAAGUUGCCACUGUGCUUUCAUGAUCACAUGAACCACUUGGUGCCAUACACACAAAGCAAAUAAAAUAACCAGAAGCAGAGAAGUCAGUGAAAAAGGGGUGAUGCCACCUCUGGGACACAGAGUUAUAACAGAGAAAGCUGACAUUAUAGAGUGUCUGGGAGUGAGGAGAAACUAUGUACUUCCUACAGUGGUAGAGGAGCAUGAAGCGGCAUGUGUAAUUUUCGAUUGCUUUGGCUUUCUCACUGUGUUUUCCUUCAUGCAUUUUUCAGACAAAAUGGCAGUUGAAUACCACAGCAGCCCACCAAAAUCAUAGAUAUUUUGAAUUUCAGUAAUUCUCCAUCAUUUCUGAGCAGAGAAUCUCCUGGUCUGCUAGCUGUGAAAGCAAACUGGUGGUGUGGUUGCUGUCUGAAGGAGUAUCCUUUGACACCUGUUGAUUCAAUUUCUUUCAUUUUGUAGAAUGGGUUGGAAAGGGCUGAGCUUUGUCUUCUGUCACAAGGAUGAGGAAUUAAAUCAUUCUGUCGCCUUGGGCUCUAAUUGCCUUGGAUCCUGUUAACUGUACAGCCUGCAGGCAAGCAAGGGCAUGGUGCAUGGUGCAGUGGUGAUCAGUAUUGUCAUUCAAAAGAUGAAAUUGUGUGACAUUCACUACGAGCCAACUGAAAAGUCACUGGAGGCACCUUUUGGCCUUUACUUUUCUUUUUGGUGAAUAAACAGACUUUACUGGAAGAGGGAAGAGUUGCUCAGUGCUCCAGUUCAACUCUGCUUUUUCAAACAAGUGCUUCACAUCACUGCUGAGUUGUUACGCUGCCGGUCCCUGGCACAGGGCUCUCCAGUUUUCAUCAGACUUCUAAGAAUCCCCCCAGUAUUUCAGUGAGAGCAUUUAGGAUACUAAGAUAUAUGUGGUUUGUUUUUCAGUUUUUGUUGUUGUUGCUAGUUUUUUCCAGUCUGUGGAAAGAACUGUCACUGGAAAACCACGGUGGUACAGGAACUAUAUGAAUUCUGCAGUCUUCUUCAUAUGUCUUUACCAAGUGAUAGAUACAGCCAGUCCACUCCAUUCUUUCCCUUUUUCCUCUUCUGCGACUGCAAAUAAGGACACCAGUUAAACCAGUUGUGGAAAUUAGGGCUGUUUUCAGCCCAACUUCUUAGCAAAGCAAGCCUUACAUGAUUACUCUGCAUAUAAUCUUAAUGUCUUAUGAACAGUUCUAGCCAAUCUCUCCCAAAUAUACCAGAGGAGCUGAGUUACCAAAAUACUUAGUUCCUACAUUUCUUUCCAGUUCAGUCAAAAGGAGCAGCCCAAAAAGUCAUCAGUAGCAUUUUUCUGUUGUAAGUGGGAAAGGCAGAAAAACAGCAGGAGAACUUUACAAUAGAACAAGGAGACAAUAUAAAAUCUAAGUUUUAAUCACUUAGUAUCCAUUCACUGAGAGGUGCGCAUCCACAAGAAAGUAGGAGUGCAGCAAACCAUGAUUUCUUAUGUGGAUACUUGUCAACUAGCAGACAAAUCAAACAAGUCAGUUCGCUGUUUCCAGGCUUACACUUGUGGCAUUGAACUGAAAUCUUCCCUAUUUCUGAAUUCUAGUCCUGAGUUUAGGUAAUGAUUUCUUUCUCAGUAGCUACUUUCUGUACUGGUUGAAACAUAAACUACUUAAAUGACUGUACUCAAUACUUAUUUAUUGUCUCUAGCAGAAUAAUUUUUCCCAAACCUUUCUUGAACUAUAAUGCUCAUCUGGGGAGCUCUGAAUGUAGUCCAUCUUGGCUGUCUGUUCCAGAUAUUACCCAAAAAAUUGAAUUUUGCUUAUUUCUGUUUAUACAUGCAUGUUGGUUUCUCAGUUAUUUGAUUUAUGGACUCUUUCAGGAUCAAUUUCUUCAUUUGAGAAGGCACAGAAAAAUAGCAGCCCUAACGCAAGAGGAAGAUGUGAGGAAAAUCAAAAAGCUUUGUGUUACCAGCUUGAGCUCUCUCUGAGGGAUAAGUCAUUUCAUUUAGCUGCUGUGUGCUGAUUGUUAGAAAAUACCUGGGAUGGUCUGAGUGACAGUCUUCAUUUCUUGUUUGAAAUCAGCACAAACCCUUCCACUGCUUUUGGUUUCCAUACAUUCCUGACUACUGGCAUAAAUUCAGAAAGAAGAAAUCUCAGGACAGCGUGUUUUCUGGCUGUACGUUACAUAGCGGAAGAGAGCUUGGGAAAGGAAGCAUGAAUAGCUCAGGGGAGGUUCCAGUUGAAUAUAAGGAACAGUUUCUUAGAGUGGUGAAGCAUUGGGACAGGCUGUCCAGGGAGGUAGUGGAGUCUCUGUCCCUGAUGUUCAAGAACUGUAAAGAUGUGGCACUGAGGGAUGUGGUCAGUGGGCACGGUGGGGAUGGGCUGGUGGUUGAACUAAAUGAUUUUAGUGGUCUUUUCCAAACGUAAUGUUUCUAUGAUGUUUUUUUCCAGCCGUAAAUUCUUGUAAUUAAAACCUUGGCAAGUUGUUAGGGAUUUUCUUAUUUUAUUUUCUCAUCAUUUUAAGCAAUUCAAGAAGCAAAACAUGUCACUGAUUAAAAAAGACUUAGUAGUACAAAUCUCAUAGGAAAUGUUAUUUUUAGACCAGUUUUGUUAAUAAAUACUUAAAAAAAAACCUAAAAUAUUGUGAUUAAUCAGCCUUUAAAUUAAUGUAGAAGUAUAAACACAACUUAGUUUCAAAUCAUUUAUGAAGAACUGGUAAGCUUAGAAUUAGCAGUGUUGCUGCUCUUCGUGCUCAACUUUGGCACUCCUGUUUGAAAUGAAAACUUUGUUGAAGUAUAGAAGCAAAAAUUCCUCUAACGCUUACAUUCAUUUAUGACGCUUACAGGGGAAGUCGGUGCGAUGAGUGUAUGAAAUGAAGUUAUGUUUUUAGAUAAGAGUUAUCACAGAAUAAAAAUACACCCUUUAUUGCUGUCUUUGUCUCUUUGUGAAACUUCAGCCUCUCCUUGCCUUCCUUUGAUCACAGAGCAAACUAUUUAUGGUCAACCUGAGAAGCUGAACAAAGGUUAUACUUCAGUAAUUAAAUCACUUUACUGAUUAGGUUUGACUUUCCAUGCUCAGUCUGAUUUCAAAAGAAGAAAAAUAAAGACCUUUAAUCUGCUUGGAAAUGCCAAGGAAAGUAAACCCUGUAGUACAGCAGGAACAAGAUCUAUUCACAUUUCUCAUCAGUUUUUCUAGAUCAAGAUGGUGAACAUCUUUAACUAGUUCUGCAUUUUGUGGUGUGCAUGAAGCUAAGUGACAGUGAGUUCCAGGGGCAGCGUAAGGGACAUGCAAGUAAACUGGAAUUUCUUGUUUAAGAGUUUCCAGCCAAAGAGGUCUUUGCAGGCAGGUCAGAUAAAGGCAUAGAAAGUGGUCCCCUCUUCUGAAAUAAAUGGGAUUCUAGUUUUUAUUUUUAAUAUUUUUGAAGUUACCAUCUUAAUGGCUUAAAACUCAUGAAAAGGUCAGGAUUCUUCAUUAUAUGAGUUUGUAGUCUCACAUUUUAUGGCUGUUCGUCUUAGCUCUGGAGUGCUAAAGAUCACUAUGGUUUAUCUGAUGAGUAUGCUUGUAACUUCUAUUCCAAUCAAGGUGUCCAGGCUGGAGAAAAUCCAUGUGUUCAACCAGAUCAGCAAAGGACACUCUAAAAUGGUGGUUCCUGUCUUCAAACACCUGAUUAAGACCCAUAAUUAAAGAGUUUUCUUGGCUUUCUUUUUUCUUCUCCCCUGUAGAAAUAGAUGAAAACUCACAAUUUGAUCUUGCCCCUAAGUCCACGGGAACUUGCAUUUUGUAUCCAACAUAACAUUAGUGCGCCUUUUAUAAUGUCAACUUGAACUAUGAGUCUCUGCAUGCUCAUCGUUAAAAGCACUUGCUUGAGGAAGUAGCAGCUAUGCUGUAAAUUCAUUUUGCUCUAUUCUGCAAAAGGUUUCCUGUCAUGUUAUCCAAAUUUUGUUUACAAAUCUGUGACUUCUUCACUCUGACAAAGAAUUCCUUGUUCUAAUGCUGUAGUGAGUAUCAAUUGGUAUCUUUUUGGUACACGAAAUGAGCUAACUCUAGAAAUCAAUGGACAAAUAUCUCCCCCACCAAAACUCACAAUUACAACUAGCGCCUUUGCAAGCAAUUUUCAUGAAGGACUUUGUGAUUAAUUUUGAAGGAAUGCCUUUCUACUAUUUUGAGCUUUCUUUCCCCAUGGGGAAUUCUGAGCUGGUUGACCUAGUUGGAUCCUAAAGACCUUUUGCACAGCUAAAGAGUCAGAAUGGAGCCAGUCAGUUGACAGAAAAGGUCAAAAGAUGCCAUUACACAUGGAAUUGAUGUACUGGAGUCCUUUGUAGGAAAAUAUCUUUUAACGACUUGACCCAAGAUGGAAUUUCUCACUGAAACAGGAGAUGUCGUAGAGAGUAAAUAACCUCAGGAUUACAGUGUUUGCUUAAGAAAUUGAAUUACAAGCCCAUGAUUCAGACCAAGAAUAUGAACUUGUGUUUUCUAAAUCCUAGAGAAGUGUUGUACUUAGCUCUAAGUUAUCAACAUUCAAUUUUGUUUGUCACUUCUCAUUAAAAUACUCAAUUUGUAAAUCAAGCAACAAACUCAAGAAUUCUGCCUCACAGGUUACCGUUUUCAAUAGUCAGCCUGUACGUAGAUUCAAACCAAUCCUUUUCAGAAAUAUCUCUACAGUUCUUUAAGUAACAGAAGCUGUUUAUCUAUUUAGAUGCAUCCUCCUGAAAGAAACUUUGGGAUAUUUUUUCCUUUGUCUUGAGGUAAAUAAAAGAGCUAAUGCUAUUUUUCAUGUUUUUCACAGCACAGCCAUGGUAAGUCCAUUUUAUGUGCUGAUAACUCUCUCCAAGAUCUAGAGAGCUUUCAUGCUAUUUCAACUCUACCCACUGAAUACCAAAAGCAAGAGAGGAAAUCUCUUUUGCUCUGAAAGACUGUGGAAGCAGUAGUGCAAGAGUGGUUUUUUUUGCUGUUGUUGCAGUAGCCUUUAAUCCCUUGACUGAAAACACUACUUUUAUACUAAAUGCUUAGCUCUUUACAGGAUGUAUUUGUAGCAGUGAUGGGGAGAUGGAAAGAUGGAGAAGCAGAGAUCUAGGAUCAAGAAUUCCAUCACUAUGGAGCUGAACUGGAUGCUUUCCUAGUAGCUUUUCUCAGUAGCAACUUCAAGCCUUAGAGUAGUUUGAAUUUACAUAUAAUGUGUAAAAACACAGCAGUCUUGCUCUGUGUUUAUUAUUGGCAGAGUAAUCUUGGGCUUCUUUUUGAAGCCCUAUGAUUACACAAUCUUCUAAGAGUAAAAAACAUCCUAGACCUUGUGUUUACAGUGAAAAGCUGAAAGAUAACUGAAUGUCCAAAGGCCAGAGAUUUUGAAUUUCAUAGUGCUCAAGUUAACUACAGUGAAAGAAAGAAUGUCUCUGUGUUGCAGAUUUUUAUUUGUUUAGUUAGAAUACUAGAGAGAAAUAAAAGACAUUGCUGAUUCUGUUUUCCAGAUAGGGUAGAACAGGACAGUAAGAUUAAGUUUCUUGCUGGAGUUCUCAAGGAAAUCCUGUGCCAGGGCAAUGAGCAGAGAACCUCUCUUUAGAGCCAGGAAAGCUUCUUGACUGCAAGCCUUCCUUUUCUCCUGUGUUGAGAGCAGGUAUGUUUAGCAAACAUAGACCCAGCAGCCUCCUCUUCUAAUAGAUGCUUUAGGGGCUCUCUUGGUGUGAUCUGGAGGUUCCUUACCUGCUCUUGUAGCUCCUAGUGCAGAGCUGUUUCAUGCUCAAGGGAAGAGGUGAAUAGAUCUUAAAUUUCUGAAAGGUUUCUCUUCAUCAGAAGAAUUAUAUCUACAUCUAGAAUUAUAUAUACAUCUAGGAAUAUUUGAGGAAUAAUGGGCUGCCCAAGCAUUCUUAGAUCUUCUAAUUAUGGUUUGAUUGUUUGAGUAGGCCUUCCUCUGCUUCAUUUUCUCCCUUUCUUGCUUUACUUCCUGCCCUUUUCUUGAACAGUUUCCAUGUUCCUUUGCUGCCUUUCCCUGCUACAAAGUUAAAGAGCCAUCCUUGUAAUCCCACUUUCUGUUUCUGUGUCCACAUUCACAAAUUGUAGAACAUUUUACUUAAAUCAUUAUAGUCUAGAAUAAAACAACUAAUUUUCUUACUGAAAUUUUCUGUGAAAUAUAGAAAUAACUUCUUUCUUUCUGAAUUUAAUAGUAGAACUUUGUGGGAGGAACAUUCAGCUCACAUCUCCUAAGAUAUGAGAAUAUAUUAGUUAUAAUAAAAUUGAGAAAAUUCCAUAUUUUUUUUCUUCAAGAACUUGCUGGGUUUUUUUAUUUCUUUUCCUCUGGAGCAAAGGGCAGAAGUCUGCAUUUCAGCACAAAGGGAAUUUCAAUGAAACCUGCUUCAAGCAAUUCUUUGGUUAUUACUUUUUAAUACUUACCCGUUAGCAUGCUUCCUUCUCUACUUUGACAUUUAGCUUUAAUCUGCGUAUAGAUACAAACAUCACUUCUAUACUCAGAUUUGAGUCUGCUCCACUGCCCUUGAAACAACUUGCAGAGGUGAAGUGCAUAAGAGGAACAUGGCAACAAUAUUAUUGUCAUUUAAGAACAGAUGUUAAAAAAGAACAAAAUCUCAAUUAUUUUAUUUUCCAUCUGAAGUACUAAGAUCCAAUCCCAAAUUCCCCACAUAUGAACCCAUGAGAUUAAAAUCCAGAAAUAAAUUCAAUUGAUACAACUUUUCAUUGUAAUUACAUGGGUAGAGAUCUGUAUAGCAAGCUGUAAAUGUCAAGAGUCCAUUUGACUUGUCAUUCCCAGGAGAGCUGUGCUGAACACAAGAUUUAUCUGAGUUUUAUUCUGAGUUAACUUGCAUCCGGAUCCUCUCUAGCUGACAAAAUCAAAAAAGUUGGACUAGAAUUGAGCUCAAGAGCUCCUCUAAUGAAAUUCCCCUUGUUGUCAGGCAGAAUCGGCAGCUUUGGUAGCAUUGGUGUUUGAUGCUCAUCUAGCAUGUCCACAAAGAUUGGAAGACUGGCAGCUUCACCACAAGCUUUGAGAAAGGAUAGCAUGUUUCUUCUUUGUUACAGUCUAUUUAAUGCAUGGAGAUCAUCAUUAUGUCCCUUAAUCCUUUUUAUUUUUUUUGAUCUCCACUUUCAUCCAGAUUCCCUGCCCAUGUACAUCCUUGGAAUAUGGGUGGCUAUAGGUAUCACUUCUAAAUGCUCUUCUGUAGACCUGGUUGAGGAUUUUACCUUAUAAAUUACUUUUCCAACCUUAAAGAUUCUAAGAUCAUCUUGUCCAACUGUCAAGCCAUGCCCACUGACAUCCCUCCGCGCCACAUUUCCAUGUUUCUGGAAUACCUCCAGGAACAGUGACUCCUCCCACUCCCUGGGCAGCCUGUGCCAGUGCCUUACCCCUCCAUCAGAGGAUAAUUUUUUCCUAAUAUCCCACCUGAACUUCCCUGGCACAACUUAAAGCCAUUACCUCUUGUCCUGUUGCUGUUACCUGGGAGAAGAGACUGACCCCCACCUUGCUACAACAUCCUUCCUGGUAGAUGUAGAGAGCAAUUUUAAAAAACAAAACAAAAACAAAAAAAAAACCUCAAAACAAUCUUGUAGGUGCUUUUUUUUUUCUGUGAGAGACAGUUUCUAAAGAGUGCAGUUUGCACCUAUCUCAAAUUUUCCCACUAAAUAGAUGAGUUUUUAGACUCCUGUUUACCUGAUGCUAGAGUAUUUGUCUUCAUUCUUUUUUUCUUUUUAAUUUUAUACAUCUACUGUAAGGUCAGAAGAAUUGUGAUUACCAAUUAAAAUAACUAUUCCCAGACAAAACACUUUUUCAGAAUAUGUUAGUGAAUAUUUUAGCAGGAAUAUCGAUCUUCUCUCAGAUAAAUCACUAUCAAGCUCCGUAAAAUGUGGUGAAACUAAUAUUUACAAGUAGAAAAAGCAAAAGACAGAAUGAAUACAAUGCAUACCAGCCUCCAAAUAAGUUAUCUAAAAAAUUUUUAAUUCUAUGGUUUCAAGUUCUAUGCAGAAAUACCAAAUGGACUGAACGUGUCUCAUGAGGUUCAGUAAGGUUUAAUCAACUUUAGUUCUUAAUAUGAAUUGGGAAAUAUGAGACUGAGUAACUGAAACACUGUCUAGGUGGUUUUUUACUUCAUCAUUUGUGGACUUCUGCCUAUACUGAGGUAGGAAACAUUUAUCAUCACAUUUCUAGCUCAGACUGUGGAAGAAAUUCAAAUGUGAGGAUAGCAGAAUGCUAUAAAUUAGAAAAGUAAUUAGCCAUUCACUUUUGAAGUUUGGUAGAGGCUAUUGGUCUUCUAAGCUGGAGAAUCUGAUGGAAAACUAAAAAAUUAUGGCAUACGUCAAUGGUUUACGGGCGUUCGGCCCGGUUCCAUGACGAAGGGAAUGGGGGACCCACGGGCCCACACCCUGGGAAAAGGGGGAAAGGGUAAGGAGAUGGCCCUGAGAGCAAAGAACAGU